rnacentral:rRNA from 1 species
GAGGAAUAUUGGUCAAUGGGCGCAAGCCUGAACCAGCCAUCCCGCGUGCAGGAAGACGGCCCUAUGGGUUGUAAACUGCUUUUCCAGGGGGAGAAUUUUUCUGUCGUGACAGGAAUUGACGGUGCCCGGGGAAUAAGCAUCGGCUAACUCCGUGCCAGCAGCCGCGGUAAUACGGAGGAUGCGAGCGUUAUCCGGAUUUAUUGGGUUUAAAGGGUGCGUAGGCGGAUUGAUAAGUCAGUGGUGAAAACCUGCAGCUUAACUGUAGACUUGCCGUUGAUACUGUCAGUCUUGAGUGUGGUCAAGGUAGGCGGAAUGUGUAAUGUAGCGGUGAAAUGCUUAGAUAUUACACAGAACACCGAUUGCGAAGGCAGCUUACUGGGCCAUUACUGACGCUGAGGCACGAAAGCGUGGGGAUCGAACAG